rnacentral:lncRNA from 1 species
CUGCCACCGGGCCAACUCAGAAGGUCCCCGCGGCGCUGCGGCAACCGGCCCGGGCCCCGGCUCCUGCCAUUUUUGUCAACCGCCAACUUCCGAGCGAGCGGGCAGAAACUGAAAGGAAGGGCGGGGGCCGAAAGGCAGAGGGGAAAACACCCGCUUCCUCUCCGCGCGCGGCUUCACCUCGGAGCGCGGCCGUGGCUGCGCCGCCGCCCGCAGGGGCUGCCGGAGGCUUUUCCUGUUCCCGUCCGCGCCUCGCCCCCGGGCUCGCCGCCGCCGCCGCCUCGGCCGUAACCUCCCUGGAGCCUAUAGAAAUCUUUUGUGUGGCGUCACCGCCUUUCGUUUAAAUCCCGCUUCCUCCUCUCGCCCUUCCUCCCGCCCCCUCCGCCGCUCCCGGAUGCUUGCGCGAUGCGCUGCUCCUCCCCCGGGAAGCUGGGUGGCUGCGGGGGACGCCGCCGCCCAACGCGGACGCUGCCGGCGUGGGGCCGGUGGUCCUGAACUCCCCCGUGGUCCUGGGCCGAGAGACUGGGGGAGCGGACAGGGGAAGGCCUGCUCCGGCCCGGGGGCUCUGCGCACACCCAUGGGAGACCGGGGCGCAGCCGCCCGCGGGCCUUACGUAAGCUCUUAGCCGGACCAGGGGGCUCCACGCUUCCUCCCCGCCAAGAGAGCAAGUCUAAAAGGUGACCUGGCUUCUGGGCUGAAGGGAGGAGGACACUGGAUUUCGGCCCCUGGUGAUUUGCUGGGGCCGGUGGGUCGUCUCGGUCUGCGCGACUUCGCCCGGUUUUCCAACGCCCCCUGCCCUUUGUUGUGUUUGAUCCACUUCCACGAUGGGUUUCCGACCAGCAGUGCAGUGUAACGAAAAGAGGAAAAGAGCACUGGAUGGGGAGUCCGAAGAGUGGUGCUAGAUGCCUGCCCGUUCCUCCCUUGAAAUACGCCUUAUGCAGUGAGAGCGCGGGUUCUGAAGCAGAUUUCCUAGGAUCAGCCUUUCUCAAGCCAUUUAUGAGUUCCAUGACAUUGUUCAAGUUCUCUUUCCAAGUAUCCGUCUUCUCUUCUAGAAAUUAGAGAUUGUGCACAGGCUGCUUGAGUACUUGGUUCCUAAACAGUAGCUGUUAGAAUUAUUAUGAGCCCUGAUCAGCGCACUUUGCCCUCUCAUAACGUCUAUUUAUUCGUCUGUAUAAUGGAAUAAUAGUGGCUGCUGUUAAAUGAAUUAAAUACGACGGCGUUUGGAGGGAAACAUUACUACUCCAGUUUUACAGAUAAGGAAACUGAUGAUCAGGUGCUUGAAGUGACUUCCGAAGAUCAGGAAGACAGCAUAUGGCAGGGACAGGAACCCACGCCUACGCCCCAGCCUCUUUUUACCGAACCUUGUUCUUCAGGAAGUGGUUAAAACACCUGGGCUACUCCCAGCAAAACGCCAGUCACGCAGUCCUGAAACAGGUCCUCUAAGGUGCCCAGCCCAACACAGGCUGGGCGUGCUGAGCCAACAGAAUGUUUGUUCCUCUGUCCCUUCCUAGAACCCCAAGUCACCUUUCUCCAGCCAGUUAAAAACGUUACUUUUAACUAGGAUGACGUUUCAAUUUAUCGGCCAUAUCCAAGCAUUUCUGAGAAUGAACUGUGAGACAUGCUAUUAAUAAAUUAACCAUGAACAGCAGGUUCAAACCUGGAUGGAUAGUCAUCCUACUUAUAACUGAAAGUAUCCUUAAAUAUCUUUAGAAUCCGGAUGAGCCCACUUAGUUUGCAAACCGAGGUCAAUAAAACUGACUUGAAAUAGGAAGUAAUUAUGUAGGGUUAAUUCCUUUUUUUCUUCUACAAGAGAAAAAAAAAACAGCUGGAUAAGUCAAGGUUUUUCCAUGGUGACCCAGGGAUUGCACCUUAGUCCUUCUUAAGCUCCAAAAACUUAUGAGAGGGGGCCGAAAGCGAUGGCUCACACCUGUAAUCCCAGCACUUUGGGAGGCCAAGGCAGGCGCAUCACGAGGUCAGGAGAUCAAGACCAUCCUGGCUAACACAGUGAAACCCCGUCUCUACUAAAAAUGCAAAAAAUUAGCCGGGCAUGGUGGCGGGCGCCUGUAGUCCCAGCUACUCGGGAGGCUGAGGCAGGAGAAUGGCAUGAACCCGGGAGGCGGAGCUUGCAGUGAGCGGAGAUCGCGCCACUGCACUGCAGCCUGGGCGACAGAGGGAGACUCCGUCUCAAAAAAAAAUAAAUAAAUAAAUAAAUAAAACUUAUGAGAGGGAAGUCAGACUGUUCUGUGCCUAGUUUAUUCUUGAGGCUGCUCUAAGAUCAGAUUUUUUUUCCAAAGCCACGUAGUGCCCCUGGGGGUCCCAUUUUCCCUUUCUUCUACAUAUGCAGUCUGUUUUGUUGUUGAUGGAAACCCACCCCGACAAUGAGUUGUGUUACACACAGACUGUCCACUCUAUUCAGUGAGGUUUGGUUUCAUUUUUAAAACUGAUAGCAUUGUUUUCUCGGCCUUCCCUGCUUCAUUUUUCAGAUAGGGAAGCUCCUAAACUGAUCCUCCCAGGCACUGCCUCCACCUUUCUUUAGGUUCACCUUUACUUUGUCCGAUUGUUCAAUCACUCCACAAUCACUGGGCACCAGUCUUGUGCUAGGCACCAAAGUUACAUAAUUUGUAAUAUGAGGCCCCCACUCUUUAGAGUCCAGGGAUAGGAGUAGAUUCACAAGAAACAGCCACAAUUUCACUAUUGGCACAGUGAGAGCACAGAGUAAAAAACCUAUAGCAGAGAUAAUCAGGCUUCACAGAUACAAUAUUUGUAGGUAGGCAGGGCCAUGUGGUUCUGUCUGACCAAUGAAAUGUAAGGGGAAGCUAUGCAGGUUACUUCUAGGCUGAGACAAUGAAAAGCCAAUCUGUAAUUCUCCACUCUCUUGCCCUCCUAUAACUACCACGGAGACUGCAUUCUAGUUGGUGGAGCCUCUGUAAGCUUAGGUGACCAUGUGGAGCAGACCCUCUUGAUCUGUAGUGGACAUGCAAUGUGAACACAAAGUAAAUUAUUGGUGUGUUAAGUCACAGAGAUUUGAGGGUUGUCUGUUGCUGUUGCAUAUUUUUAGUCUAAUUAGAGGAUGGCUUGUUGGUGUCUGCCCUUAGAGUCACUCAAGCAAUGGCUUUUUCUUUAGAAAACUCCACCUAUUACCCCUUCUAACCCUCUCAAAAUUAAAAUAAAUAUAAAUCAAAAGUAUUUGCUGUGAUCUGACCCCCAAAUUCAUAUGUUAAAACUUAAUCACCAGUGUCACAGUAUUACAAGGUGAGCCU